CGCCCUGCAACAUCAUCCUUACAGAAUAAAUAAAUUUCUCCUGCUGGUGUUAAAAAGCUAUUAUGAAAAGAAACCAUACUCUGUUUAUCCUGCACAAAUUCAUGAAUUUUCUCUGAGAAUACUCCACUUAAAUGAAAAAAAAAACUAUCGAUUUCA